rnacentral:rRNA from 1 species
GCNNUNNNUCCAGCUNCAAUAGCNUAUNNUAAAGCUGCNGCGNNUAAAAAGCUCGUAGUUGGAUCUCAGUUGCGGGCGGGUGGUGCAUCUACCCGGUGUGACAGCCCGAGCUGAACAUCUUGCCUUCUAUCCUCUGGUGUCCUUCACUGGAUGCCUUUGGGUGGUCGGUGCAUUUACUUUGAAAAAAUUGGAGUGCUCAACGCAGGCGAAGUGCCUGAACACUUAUGCAUGGAAUAAUAGAACAAGACCCCGUUUCUGUUCUGUUGGUUUUUGGAAAACGGGGUAAUGAUCAAGAGGGACGGCCGGGGGCAUUCGUAUUGCGGCGCUAGAGGUGAAAUUCUUGGACCGUCGCAAGACGAACUACAGCGAAAGCAUUUGCCAAGAAUGUUUUCAUUGAUCAAGAACGAAAGUUAGAGGUUCGAAGGCGAUCAGAUACCGCCCUAGUUCUAACCAUAAACGAUGCCAACCAGCAUUCCGCCUGAGUUACUCCAAUGACUCUGCGGGCAGCCUCCGGGAAACCAAAGUAUUUGGGUUCCGGGGGAAGUAUGGUUGCAAAGCUGAAA